rnacentral:tRNA from 1 species
UCCCUAGCAGUUCAGUGGUUAGGACUCAGCAUUGUUGCUGCUGAGGGCCCAGGUUCAAUCCCUGGUCAGGGGA